UCCAGUAAGCGUCAUGAUGAGAUCAACACUGUUCCUGGUACUACUUGUAGUCGCGGCAAACAGCUGCAAGGACAAUUAUAAGAAAGGUAGCUGCUUGAGCCGGAGGAAGAAGGGACUAUGCGGAGGGGAACAAACUCUCAUUAACUGCCAGAAAACUUGCAAUAACUGUCCCCCUCCCCCUCCCCCUGUCCUUGCUGAUGUCCUUCUUGCAGCUCCUGCUGGUGCUCCUGCUGAUGCUCCUCAUGCCCUCUUUGAUGCGGAUUGCACAGACUUGUUGGGAUCGAGCUAUUGUGGAGUGAAAACACAUCGUGGAGAAUGUUACGCUAAAGGUAAUAAUGUUCAACGGUACUGCAGAAAGACAUGCAAGCUUUGUUAGUGAGUUUCAGAGGAAAGCUUUGCCAGUGAGUUUAAGAGGAAAGCUUUGCCAGUGAGUUUAAGAGGAAAGCUUUGCCAGUGAGUUUAAGAGGAAAGCUUUGUUAGUGAUUUGAAGAGGGAAGAAGGAUGAUAAACAUUACAUAGACCUUGUGUAAAGGCGGUGCUAAAAAUUCAACAAUUAAUAAUUAUUGUUCUUACUUUUUUCUGCAUGACA